rnacentral:rRNA from 1 species
UACGGAGGGGACUAGCGUUGUUCGGAAUUACUGGGCGUAAAGCGCACGUAGGCGGCUUUGUAAGUCAGGGGUGAAAUCCCGGGGCUCAACCUCGGAACUGCCUUUGAUACUGCAAAUCUCGAGUCCGGAAGAGGCGAGUGGAAUUCCCGGUGUAGCGGUGAAAUGCGCAGAUAUCGGGAGGAACACCAAUGGCGAAGGCAGCUCGCUGGGACGGUACUGACGCUGAGACGCGAAAGCGUGGGGAGCAAACAGG